UUAUAUAAAGUUAAGAAAACUUUAAGUUAUUAACUAAGUAUAUUUAUUUUUAUUUUUAUUUUUACUUUUAAAUUAAUUUUAAUUAAUAAUAAUAAUUUAUUUUAUAAUUAUUAUUAAUUAUUUUUUUUUAAAUAAAAUUUACUUUUUAAAAUAACUUAUUUUUUAAUAUUAUUAUAAACUUAUAAAUAUAUCUAGUAUAUAAUAAAAUUUAUUUAAUUAUUUUAAUAUUAUAUUAGAAUUUUUAUAUACU
rnacentral:tRNA from 1 species